rnacentral:tRNA from 1 species
GCGUCCGUAGCUCAAUUGGAUAGAGCACUGGUCUUCGGAACCAGGGGUUGCAGGUUCGAGUCCUGCCGGGCGUGCUA